rnacentral:misc_RNA from 1 species
CGGUAUUGUACUGAUGUUUUUGAUUAUCUAACACUCUCAGCAAUCAUAGAUGGCACUGUGCUUUGUGUCCAUGGUGGCCUUUCUCCUGACAUCCGAACAAUCGAUCAGAUAAGAGUAAUCGAACGCAAUUGUGAAAUUCCACAUGAAGGGCCAUUCUGUGAUCUAAUGUGGAGUGAUCCCGAAGAUAUUGAAACAUGGGCAGUUAGUCCCCGAGGAGCAGGUUGGCUAUUUGGAUCCAGGGUUACUUCUGAGUUCAAUCACAUUAACAAUCUUGAUCUGGUUUGUCGAGCACACCAACUGGUACAAGAAGGUCUGAAGUACAUGUUUCAAGAUAAAGGCUUAGUAACUGUCUGGUCUGCACCAAAUUACUGCUAUCGCUGUGGGAAUGUUGCUUCUAUAUUGAGCUUCAAUGAGAGCAUGGAGAGAGAUGUGAAAUUUUUCACUGAAACAGAGGAGAACAACCAGAUGAGAGGACCCAGAACAGGAGUUCCUUAUUUCUUAUGAUGAGGGAUUCAUUUGCCUUCGUACUUGUAAAAUUGCUGUAGCGCGAAUGCUUAUUGUUGGAAGGAGUUGUAAGGGAAAAGCUGGGAGAACACGUCCUUCUUUGACAUGUUCUGCAGGUGGACCUUGCAUUUGCCUGGUUUGGCAUUUUCCAUCCACUUUAGGUUGCUUUUGGGAUUUGUGGCAUGUGUAUUAUGGUUUCCAAUUAUAUCAUGGCUUUCUUUUUUCCUUUUAUUUAAGUUCUAUCGAAGUCGCUUAUCAUAUCCCAUGCCUUCGAAUUAAAUGUGUAUUAGUCUUCUGUGUUAAUUAGUAUCCGCAAUAGACUAAUACACAUUUA